GUAAAGGGAUGAAUGAAAGCGGCACUGAAUUCAGACUCAAAAAUAAUAUUUUAAGUACUUUAUUUAAAGAUUACAAAUAUUUUGUCAGUUUUAAAAACUGCAAUCAACAAUCAAAUGUACUGAGUUGGUUAAGUCUAAAUUAAAAAAAAAAAAACAGCAUCAAGAUUAAGAGCAAAUGUUUCCAAUGUCAGUAUUAUGAUAUGUAAGUGACACUGGCAUUAUGUUUCCUUAUGAUAGUUCACAUUUUAAGAGAUAUUUAAGCUAGUUAUAAAAAAGGCACAAUGUCUGCCCUCCAUCCAAAUAACUGAGAGACAACAUGCACAGGUAGAAAAAUGGCAAGUCAUUAAAAAAGAAAACAAAAGAUCUCUUAUAUUGCUUAUAAGGCCACAAUGGCUUGGAAUGCAUGUGUAUUAAUACAAUUUAGAAGAAUUAUAUAGAAAUGUAUGCGUGUCUAUCCACUCUUUUUUUAAGCUAAGUGCGGACGCAGUCAUUUUGAACUUGAAUAUGCAAUGCUUCUGGUGUCAGCCAUUUCCAGUUAUUUUAGCUGCAAAAAACAGUCUGUUAUUCUGCUUGAUGCUGCAAACUGGCAUUUGUUACAGUCUAUUAUUUUAAUUAGUUUUAACUGAUUGCAAAUUGUUAUUCUACUAGUUAUUUAAUUCAAGUAGCUAAUAAAUUGAAAGUCUCCUACAUUCACAGGAAAUAGCUUGAAAAAAAGAUGGAGAGUGUCUAGAAGGCUGAAUUUAAACAUGAAAAGGUUUUGUCAAGACAUCAUUUAAAGUUUGUCUUGAUGGGGCUUCUUUUAGUAAAAUUUAGUUAUUGCACUUCGAAUUUCUGUUCAUUUUAAUACUUCCUUUAGAAAAAAAAUCACAAUUCCUAAUGCUGUUUACUAUCACAAACACAAUUAAAUUUGGGGGAAUUUAAAAAGCAUUUUCAACUCAGUUCUGAAUGACACACAACCCUAGCACAUCCAUAAAAUGUUGCCAAUAAACAUCGUCAAUAUUAAGUUACUUAAGAAAAAUGCCUCCCUGCACAUGUAUGAGACAAAAUUUAAAUAAUGUGGGUAAGCAAUAACAAAUAUUACAGCAGGAACAUGCACUGGUGGUGAAGGAGGAGAGAUUACAAAACUUUAUAUGUGAUUUAAAUUGGAUAUUCAAGCGUCAAAACACAGGCUGGAAAAAAAAAAAAAACAGUCCAUAUUUUGUUUGUUUAAAUCUUCAAUAGUUCCUCAACCUCUCCUCCUCCUCACCCUUGAGAUUAACACCCUGUGGAGUUCACAAUUUGAAAAGGGACACUUCUUUCUGUUCGGAUGACACAGUCAGUUAAAAGGAGCACAAAAAUGGGAGUCUCUAACAACUAAAUGGAGCGUUCCAAGGUGGGUUGGGAAGAAUCACAUAUCUAGGCUGCUGGGGACUCAGGCUGCUUCCUCAGCAGAAGAUGCCUCACCGGUUGUUUCAGCAAUGGGAGCAGCAGCCUCAGCAGUGACAUCCUCAGCAACAGGUGCAGUAGGUUCCUCAGCAUCAGCUGCUACUGCUUCUACUAUCGCAGUUGCUGCCUCCACAGGUUCUGGGGUCUGUUCAGCCUCUGCAUUAAUCACCUCAGCUGCUGUGGUUUCUGCUUCUGCUACCGAGGCUACCUCAGCAACUGCUCCUACACGGAAUACAGUAAGCAGGACUUCAAGAAAAGGCAACAUGAUCCAAAGAAAAUCCAAGAUCAAGUGUGAUUAAAAAGUUAAAGCAGACUUAGGAAAUGUGUUCUUAUACUAAAUAAAGAGGGUUAGCAUUAAUUCCAUCUGUCAUUAAUAGAAGAACAUUAGAGAGAUUAUGAGAACAGGAUGAUGUAUAAAUGGAUAGCAAAAACCAUUCAUUCAGAUUAGACUUCAAAGAAUCUAAGCUCUUAGAGUUAGCAUUAGAAAUGUAUUGUUUAUUUAUUAAUACUUCAGAAUUAGUCAGAUUAGUUUUUAAAGAACUUGCAUGGAAGAUUGAUUGGCUCAAGACAAUGUAGACCCAUCACCAAGCCAACAUUGAAUGAAUAAAAACACACAAACAUGCAAGAUUAAAUGAUUUAUUCACCCCAAAAUGUACAGAUAUUCUGAAGACAUAUGAGAGAUUUUUGUGGCAAACAAAAAAUUAUUUUUUGCGUUCCUUGGAAGACAAUCAUAUGGGCUUGGAAUGACAUUUUGGAUGAAUUACUGCUUUAAUAACAAAUGGUUAUUACACACAAUAUCAUAUGUGUUGAACAUCACAAAAAAGCACUUUUACCAAGCUCAAAGUUCCACAGAUGUCAUCAGUCAUGCUUAUUUGCCACAAUUUAAGCUGUUUGCAAACACUAAAAAGUUGUGUAUCUACUCUUGGAAAAGUGCUUCUGUUCUGAGGUAUGUGAUACAUAUGGCUGCAGGCAAAACAAGUAAAGGGCACAGACCAAAAUGCAUAGAAUAGUUUUGUCUUUGACUAAUGAGUGGUGCUCAAAAACAGACAUGCUGCUAAGUGAGAAGCUAAAUUUAUACUCACCCUCCUCACCUGAUGGGAGAAGAAAAAGUAAGGUGGUUAACAACACGCAAACAAGAGAAGUAAGCAAGUGAAAGCUGCUCUAAAUGUAGCUAGCUUAGUGGCUGCUAAAUAAUUGCAGAAAGAGGAUCAGGAACUGAGGAACUGCAGUAACAUACACGUACCAGAACAGUGGCAAAACCUGACACCCUGCCUCACGGCAUCCAUCAAUUCAACUAUGAAUGGGAAUCUAAUCUCAUCUGUCUGUGCAAAUUAUUUCCGCUUUACCGAUGCUGAAAGAUUAACUGUGAUCUUGAACAGCCAAAAUGAAAACAGGUAUUCAUAGACAAAAACAAAACUACACCACAAAAUAAAAUAAAAAUCAACUUACUUUUAGGUCUGGCCUCGAAUUGAGCAAUUCUUUCAUUAUAUCUUGCACUGUCAGAGUUUAUUGUCU
ensembl:lncRNA